CCUACGGGGUGCAGCAGUGGGGAAUAUUGCACAAUGGGGGAAACCCUGAUGCAGCGACGCCGCGUGAGCGAUGAAGUAUUUCGGUAUGUAAAGCUCUAUCAGCAGGGAAGAAGAUGACGGUACCUGACUAAGAAGCCCCGGCUAACUACGUGCCAGCAGCCGCGGUAAUACGUAGGGGGCAAGCGUUAUCCGGAUUUACUGGGUGGAAAGGGAGCGUAGACGGCGAUGCAAGCCAGAUGUGAAAGCCCGGGGCUCAACCCCGGGACUGCAUUUGGAACUGUGUGGCUGGAGUGUCGGAGAGGCAGGCGGAAUUCCUAGUGUAGCGGUGAAAUGCGUAGAUAUUCGGAGGAACACCGGUGGCGAAGGCGGCCAACUGGGCUUUAACUGACGCUGAGGCUCGAAAGUGUGGGGAGCAAACAGGAUUAGAUACCCUGGUAGUC
rnacentral:rRNA from 1 species